GGCUUUGAUGAAAACGGUAUCACUUCUUUCCCAGUCCGAUUCGACCAUGACGACAAGGGUUUCUACCAUGUCUCUGUAUUUCUUCUUUUUGAGGAAGUACUUCAACGGGACUUUUCUUGCCAGUGUAUUUCAAUACACGAUCAAAGAUCCUGAGCC
rnacentral:snoRNA from 1 species